AAUUUUGAAGGGCCGCAGUAUUUUGACUGUGCAAAGGUAGCAUAAUCAUUUGCCUUUUAAUUAGAGGCUAGUAUGAAUGGUUGAACGAAAUACAAACUGUCUCAUUUUUAUAAUUUUAAUAAUUUAGCUUUCUAGUUAAAAGGCUUGAAUAUUAUUAGAGGACGAGAAGACCCUAUAGAACUUUAUAUAUUUUUAUUUAGAUUUAUAUAGUAAAAUAUUUUUAUUUAUUUAAAUGUGUAUUUUGUUGGGGUGACAGGGAAAUAAAUAUAACUUUCUUAAAUGCUUAAACAUUGAUUAUUGAAUUUUUGAUCCAUUAAUAUUGAUUAUUAGAAUAAGUUACCUUAGGGAUAACAGCGUAAUUUUGUUGGAGAGUUCAUAUCUAUAAUAAAGUUUGCGACCUCGAUGUUGAAUUAAAGAAAUUUUAGAGUGCAGAAGCUUUAAGUA
rnacentral:rRNA from 1 species